CGAACGGCAGCCACCCGUAAAACACAUUAAUGAGUGGUGGAUACAGUGUUGCAAUCCUUAAUAGGAGACCCACGACCCCCUUGUGUGUUGAAAUUCACUGUUCGUAAAACUACCAUAUGAAUGCUCGCGGUUUUUGUGCCGAUAGCGCAUGAACGCUCUCUUCUAAACAGAACAUAGAAUACAGAUAGAUUCCUGCAGUCUUAAGGGCAACAAUAUCAC